AGGGCUAGUUCCAGGACAGCCCAGGGUUACACAGAGAAACCCUGUCUCAUAAAACAAAACAGCAAAAGAAUUUAUAAUUUUUAAAUUAUAUCAUUUCUCAAACCUGUGCUCAUUGAGACGAGUUGGGCACUUUGGCCUUCCACAGCCCACUUCCUGCAGCCUCCCCUCGACUGCCUUGUGGAGCCCAUGCUCAGCCACCCCUACUUCCUGUAGCCACUGCCCUCUGCUCCUGCCAGGACCUCUUUCCUCCCUCUAUAACCACAAAGAUUCACAUUUUACUCAUGUAGUGACCCAACAUACAGGAUAUACCAGAGAAACGUUCAUGAGCCACAGAGCCCACAAGAAAGUCAACUGAUUCAACACAGUCUCAACAUUGUAAAACAUGAAAGUUCUAUCUUUAAUAGUAAAAGAGGCACCAAAGGGGCAUCCAGUCCAUCACACUGCCUCAAAGCCACUCCAGUUCCAUGGUUCAGUCAGAACUGGACACACCAGCUAAGAAGCCCUUUAAAGGAACUGACUGUAAUGGAGCAAGCUCCUCACCCUGUCUUAGGCAGUGAAAGUCCAUGGGAAAUCCAUCACGGUUCUUUGUUCUUCAGCACAGUCCCAAGAAGGGACGUUAUAGGACACACUAUGAGUUCUGGCCUUAUGUUUGUGUUCCAAUAAAAAGCAAGAAGGAGCUGACAUACUCGAAACCUCAGAAGUUGGAAGGCAGAGACAGCUGGACUGAGAAUCCAGGGCCAGCCUGGGCUACAUAGGGAGACUCUCUCAAAAGAAACAAAAGAAGCAUGAAGUCCAGACUUAAGUUGGCCUCCACUUCCCUGUCAGCCCACCACCGUUAGGACCUGAAGAGUGGAAUUUUGGCUUGCCCUUUAUUUGGGGGCACAAAUGAAACACGUUCUUACCCACAGAGGGCUAAUGUUUGCUCCAUGUCUGUCAUGAUCCAUGUUCGUUUCCUCUGCUUUCUUGUAUUGCUACAGGGGGACUCAGCUCCGUUCUUGUCACAGUUCCCAGCAACAGCUGACUGGCAGGGCGGGCUCCUCCUGGGCCCACAUCCAGGCAGCCGGCAAGAGUGAAAUCUACGGACUCGAGGCCAAUCUAGCAGCGACCUGAGUAUAGAAGGAAAGCAGGACGUGACUUUCUUUGGAUCUGCCAUCAUAGACAUAAUUAGCGAGCAGGGACUUCUACUGGAAAAGCAUGUCCUCCUAAUCCAGCAUGGCUGCUAUCCUACCAGAAGUUGAGCUGUGACACACACUUCCUUGUUAUGAGGACCCUGAAGCCAUUUGUGAAGAGGCACACCGGGUGAAGAACUGAAGCCUGCUGCCAACAGCCAUGUGGGACUGUCUGGAAAGAGAAUCCUUUCUGAAGCUCCCAGUGUGGCACAAGGUUAUUUCUGUGUUAAAGUCUACAAGACUGCCUGGCUGAUGAGAACGUCACUUGUAAAGGCUGUGAGGUUGCAGGUCCAGAGCCAGUUCAUCUUGGGCUAUUAUUAGAUCUCUUGAUAGCUGUUUGUUGCCUACGACCAUUCAUUCUCCUAAUAGUAAUAAUAAAUAAUAAAAAUAAUAAAUAUUUUAUUGAAAAAAU